AGCAGUGGGGAAUUUUGGACAAUGGGCGAAAGCCUGAUCCAGCAAUGCCGCGUGAGUGAAGAAGGCCUUCGGGUUGUAAAGCUCUUUUGUCAGGGAAGAAACGGUGAGAGCUAAUAUCUCUUGCUAAUGACGGUACCUGAAGAAUAAGCACCGGCUAACUACGUGCCAGCAGCCGCGGUAAUACGUAGGGUGCAAGCGUUAAUCGGAAUUACUGGGCGUAAAGCGUGCGCAGGCGGUUUUGUAAGUCUGAUGUGAAAUCCCCGGGCUCAACCUGGGAAUUGCAUUGGAGACUGCAAGGCUAGAAUCUGGCAGAGGGGGGUAGAAUUCCACGUGUAGCAGUGAAAUGCGUAGAUAUGUGGAGGAACACCGAUGGCGAAGCAGCCCCUGGGUCAAGAUUGACGCUCAUG
rnacentral:rRNA from 1 species